rnacentral:tRNA from 1 species
GUCCCCUUCGUCUAGAGGCCUAGAACACCGCCCUUUCACGGCGGUAACAGGGGUUCGAAUCCCCUAGGGGACG